UACGUAGGUGGCAAGCGUUGUCCGGAAUUACUGGGCGUAAAGAGCGCGCAGGCGGCUGGUCAAGUCCGAUGUGAAAGCUCCCGGCUUAACUGGGAAAUUGCAUCGGAAACUGAUCGGCUUGAAGGUGGGAGAGGGUAGUGGAAUUCCCGGUGUAGUGGUGAAAUGCGUAGAUAUCGGGAGGAACACCAGUGGCGAAGGCGACUACCUGGCCCACUCUUGACGCUGAGACGCGAAAGCCAGGGGAGCGAACGGG
rnacentral:rRNA from 1 species